GAAAGGAGGAAAGGGUAGUGAGUCGAUGAUAGCGCUCUUCAGACACCAACCACACGAUGUUCGUGAUAUCGGAAUAAGAAUCUGUGGACGUGGACUCGGCUCUCAAUGAAAUUGCGAAACCUGGAACGCUUUUAUGUUGAUUAAAACCCUUAAAGGAACAAUGGAUUGUUGUUUACGCUCCGCAUAGUCCUCCAGAGCGGGUUUCCGAGAUCGCGGUAACCUCCGGCAUAGCAGCAACGUCGUCGAUCAAGCGGAUCAUCAAUCGCGAAUGAUGCUUCUCAGAGGGUCCUCGACGGGUUCCGUUUACACGUCAGGAACAUUGAAGGAGUGUCUGCUCUUCACGUCCAUCAGUAACCUGACAGAUUCCAUCGGAUCAAAGGACAGACCAACACACACGUGAUCCCGUUCCAUGGAUUCAGUUUGUUCUGGAAUCGACCGAUCUCUCCCUUUCGCUCCGAAAUUCCAAGAGCCACCAGUUACUGCGGCAUUCCCCUUUGAUUGGCUACGCACACGAUAAGAUGACUCGAUAUAUGUCAAGGGUGAAAUAAAGAAGAAAUCUAAAGAUCGGCGUUUACGAUUGAUUCGAAUUGCUUCCAUUGUGCAGUAGAUUUUGCGGAACUGACACAAUUACAAUCUACGCGUUCAAGUAUUCACUCGUUCAGAAUUUAUGCGCUCAGUAUCUACGCGCAGAAUUUACAUGCACAGGGUUCACACGCGCAGGAUCCACGCUCGUAGGACUCACGCGGUUAAAAUUCACGUACGCAACAGCAUCCAUAUGUUCAAAAUUUGUGUAAGCAAAAUUCGCUCGCGUAGAAUCCAUGCAUGCAGAAUCCGUGCUUUUAAAAUCUACGUAUGCAGAAUUUGCGCGUGCAAAGGAUGAUUAUCACGAGAGUACGCGUCAUCGAAAUUCGUGCCAUCUCUAUUCUCCGUAAAGUAUUCUCAAAUUCGAAAUCGCGAUAAAUAAUCGUAAUUCGAACGAAAUGACCGAACACUCGAAUAACGUAGAUAACUUGCGCUCGGAGAAAUAUGAAUUUACUUUCUUGACUAGGUAAUCUGCGUGGUUGUGGCGCUGCAUUUGUUUGUCUCGAUGACACGCAGUUUGAUUUGAUACGCGCAGCAACAGGUUACAGACCUAAUCGGCUCGUUCGAUUAUGUCGAAUAUAGCAGGAUACGUUUACUGGGGGAUGAUCUUCGUCAUCGUUGAUCAUUUUG